AUGGCCUCUAUCAUGGCCACCACCUCGGCCAUCUCAGGCCGCUUGUCGGGGUUCGCGUCCCAGCACCGUUUCAUCACGUUCGCCAAAGCGCUCGGACAGCACCGCGGUAUCUCCGGCCUCAGAAGGCGUCAGAAACAAGAGCCUGGCAACGCCACAAGGGAAGGAAACAUUUUUGACCUGGCGGACAACGGCAGAACAGAUCCCAAAGCUAUAAACAUCGCAUUUCCUGUUGUAAGGAUGACCAUUCAGGACCUGCACAUAGAUAGAUGCCGGCAUUUAUAA
rnacentral:rRNA from 1 species